GCACCUGCCUUCAAAAGGAGCUUCUAUGUAGAAUAAAAUACAUAGAAUGGAUGUGGCUAUAUGCAAGGAAGUCCAGAUGAUUUUUUAUCUGGAUUAUUUGCAGGCAACCUAUUGUUUAAUAGGAGUCCUCAGAGACUAUACGCCAUACACCUGAAAUGGUGAAGACAUAGUCCAGACCACAAUUUCGGU
rnacentral:ncRNA from 1 species